rnacentral:lncRNA from 1 species
GAGCGCUUACCUAGGAAGCGCCAGGCCCUGGGUUCGGUCCCCAGCUCCGGAAAAAAAAGACCCAAAAAAAAAAAAAUAAAAAAUAAAAAAGGAGUUGUUUCUAAGAGUGUUAGAUAAAUGUAUGGACAUUGUACAACUUGUAAAAAUGUGAAAUAGUCUGGAUUUGGAAAUUGUCUUUUCUCAACAUUUUUCAGAGAAGAAAGUGUGGAGUUCUGUGAUAGGAAAGUGCAGUUCUGAAUCAGGAGUAGGUAAAUUAGUCUGGAGGCCACAUCUACUGCUUGGUUCUUUGGUUGAUUGUUUUGAUGCUGGGGUAGAGCCUAAGUCCUUGCAGAAGCUGGCAAGUGCUCUACUGUGGCGCCGUAAUCCCAGGCUCACAUUGCUUAUUUUUAUAAAUACAGUUUAUACACUUGCUAUCUCUGGCUGCUUUCAAGCUACAAAAUAGUUAUAAAAAGCCUAUAAUAAUAUCGUCUAUUUGGUUAUUUUUAGAAGUGUGCUGCUUUCAGAUCUAGAUUAAGCAAAUACUGUUCAUAGUAUGCAAUUUGAAAUGUAAGAAGUGUAGGGAAAUGUGUUGGCACCUCAAGCUACUCUGGAGGCCAAGAUAGGAGAAUGACUUGAGUCCUUGAGUUUGUGGCCAGCCUGAAAAACUUAAUGAGACCCUAUUCCUUAAAAACAAAAACAUAAAAAGAGAGGAUGUAGAAAUGGCUCAAAACAUAAAUCAGUUGGUGCUGGGUUCCCUUUUCACAACAUACAUGGUAACUAACAAUGUUCUGUGAUUCCAGUUGCUGGGAUUUCUUAAACACAACUCGUGAGGUAGUCACUGGCCACUUUUUGAUCGUACUCUUGCUUCAAA